rnacentral:tRNA from 1 species
CAAAGAGUAGUUUAGUAAGAAUCCUAGCUUUGGGAGUUAGGGGUGGGGGUGAAAAUCCCUUCUCUUUGA